AACGGAAUACAUAAAUCGAGUUCGUUUGGACGCCGGCUCUCGCUCUCACUUGCGCAUUUCGCCGAACACCAUCGCCACCGCCGACACCAGCGCCAAGACAUCAAGCUCCAAUCCCUGCCUCCAAUGGCUCCUCUCCAAACCCUGAGCCCCAACACCUCACCCUGCCUCCAUCCUCCCCAAACCCUGAACCCCAACACCUUCCCUCCGCAGGUCAACGGCGCCGACCUCCGCGCCACGCGAUUCGCGCCCGCGGCUGCAAGGGCUUCGGCGUCUUCUCCACUUUCAACGAGCCAGCCGCCACCGAGCAAUGUGAGGAAGAAACUACUCACGUAACAUCGAGAUGCUUGAAGUCUUCCUCGUUCGAUGAGACAAAAACCUCGCAGCCUCUCUUCUCCAGCUCCCAAGCAACGGUACCUUCCUGGUAGCAACUUUGAGGCAUGGCGAUGAGGUCCAGCUUGCGGAGACGCGGGAGCCAUAACAACCCCUCAGGAAGGUGUUUCAGAUUGGGGCACUUGCAAAGUGUCAGACGUGCUAGAGAUUUCAUGGAUCCUCGCUCCAGUUUCCAAUCUGCCACUACAAGAUCGUGGAGCACCAACUUUAUUACACAAGGAAAGCUUCCAGACAUGCAAGUAAUUACUGGCCCUGUGUAUGACUGCUCGCCUAUUUCAAGGUGCCGGAGUCGCUGUAGGCUCCCCAGCUCCGGUAUAUCCUCAUCAUUUCUGAGUAGAUUUGUGCAGCAUAUCUUUAGCAUGUUGACAACAUCCCAUUCUCUAAACUCUGAGAGAUAGCAAAGGAACUGUGGCCCUUCGCACCUCUCCACAAUGUCCCAUUGUUCCUUACGAUAACGCAUGACAAAGCAGCAUGAGAUGUUGGGGCUCUUGUUCUUCA